UUAUUUUGUUCUUUUAUUUUACCCUCAACGGUCUUAGAUCCUUUCUCUUCCCUCGAUUUUUUUCCUUUCCCUUUCCUUCCCUCCUAAGCCUUCCAUUUUCUCUCUGUUUCUCUCUUCAUGUUCCUGGUUUUGCCCCUCAGUUCUCGUCGCCUGGAGUUUGAUUGUUAUCUUUUUCUUUGUUUUGGCUUGGCUCAAGAACAUUAUACAGCUACAACUCUCGAUUGAGAUUUCCUUCACAUGACUGAAACCAUCCUCUCCGGUGACCAUUCGGAAGAUGUCAAGGCAAUGCUUAAAUUUUGGACGCAGGCUGUGGCAUGUACUGUUGAAUUAUGCAACUAAAGGAGCUAAUGAAUCCGUCAGCAAAGGAAAACAAGGGAACAUAUUUCUCUGCAAUUGGUUGUCAUCAACUUGUAGGGUUAUAAAAAUAAAUCGGAAAACUGGUCAAACUAUCCUGUAACUGGUCCAGUUUGGUUCGUUUUCAGUUUUUAAAAUCAAAAACUGGUUGGAAACUAGUCCAGUACCUGUUUAAACCAAACCGAACUGAUUUCUGUAUAUAUUUUUUACUUUUUAUAUUAUAUAUAAAAUAUUUUUAUAUAAUGUUAUAUA